GUGAGGAAUAUUGGACAAUGGGCGCAAGCCUGAUCCAGCAAUGCCGCGUGCAGGAAGAAGGCCUUCGGGUUGUAAACUGCUUUUGUACGGAACGAAACGGUCCUGGUUAAUACCUGGGGCUAAUGACGGUACCGUAAGAAUAAGCACCGGCUAACUACGUGCCAGCAGCCGCGGUAAUACGUAGGGUGCAAGCGUUAAUCGGAAUUACUGGGCGUAAAGCGUGCGCAGGCGGUUUUGUAAGACAGGCGUGAAAUCCCCGGGCUCAACCUGGGAAUGGCGCUUGUGACUGCAAGGCUGGAGUGCGGCAGAGGGGGAUGGAAUUCCGCGUGUAGCAGUGAAAUGCGUAGAUAUGCGGAGGAACACCGAUGGCGAAGGCAAUCCCCUGGGCCUGCACUGACGCUCAUGCACGAAAGCGUGGGGAGCAAACAGGAUUAGAAACCCCGGUAGUCC
rnacentral:rRNA from 1 species